rnacentral:rRNA from 1 species
GCUAUACAUGCAGUCGAGCGAAUGGAUUGAGAGCUUGCUCUCAAGAAGUUAGCGGCGGACGGGUGAGUAACACGUGGGUAACCUGCCCAUAAGACUGGGAUAACUCCGGGAAACCGGGGCUAAUACCGGAUAACAUUUUGAACUGCAUGGUUCGAAAUUGAAAGGCGGCUUCGGCUGUCACUUAUGGAUGGACCCGCGUCGCAUUAGCUAGUUGGUGAGGUAACGGCUCACCAAGGCAACGAUGCGUAGCCGACCUGAGAGGGUGAUCGGCCACACUGGGACUGAGACACGGCCCAGACUCCUACGGGAGGCAGCAGUAGGGAAUCUUCCGCAAUGGACGAAAGUCUGACGGAGCAACGCCGCGUGAGUGAUGAAGGCUUUCGGGUCGUAAAACUCUGUUGUUAGGGAAGAACAAGUGCUAGUUGAAUAAGCUGGCACCUUGACGGUACCUAACCAGAAAGCCACGGCUAACUACGUGCCAGCAGCCGCGGUAAUACGUAGGUGGCAAGCGUUAUCCGGAAUUAUUGGGCGUAAAGCGCGCGCAGGUGGUUUCUUAAGUCUGAUGUGAAAGCCCACGGCUCAACCGUGGAGGGUCAUUGGAAACUGGGAGACUUGAGUGCAGAAGAGGAAAGUGGAAUUCCAUGUGUAGCGGUGAAAUGCGUAGAGAUAUGGAGGAACACCAGUGGCGAAGGCGACUUUCUGGUCUGUAACUGACACUGAGGCGCGAAAGCGUGGGGAGCAAACAGGAUUAG